GUUGAUCCUGCGGGAGGUCGCUGCUAUCAGAAUUCGAUUCAACUAAGCUAGUUCAGGGGCUCUUCGGAGCACCGGCAGACAGUUCCGUAACACGUCGUUAAUCUACCCUUGAGCCUGGGAUAACCUCGGGAAACUGAGGCUAACACCGGAUAGAAGAAGAACACUGGAAUGUAUUUUCUUCCAAAGAUUACACUCAAGGAUGAGAUGGCGCCCGAUUAGGUUGUUGGUGGGGUAAUGGCCCACCAAGCCCGAGAUCGGUAGGGGCCUUGGAAGAGGUAGCCUCGAGGAGGACACUGAGAUAAGGGUCCUGACUCUACGGAGUAUAGCAAGUGCGAAAACUUUACACUACACGAAAGUGUGAUAAGGGAAUUCUGAGUGCUCAUGCGUUGCAUGGGCUUUUGUCAAGAGUAAAAAUCUUGGAGAAUAAGUGGUGGGCAAGACUGGUGCCAGCAGCCGCGGUAACACCAGCGCCACUAGUGGGGACCGCAAUUAUUGGGCCUAAAGCGUUCGUAGCUGGUUCAGAAAAUCUCCUGUGAAAUUGUCGUGCUCAACGCGACAGCGUGCAGAAGACACUACUGGACUUGAGACCGGGAGGAGUCAGAGGUAUUCUCGGGGUAGCGGUAAAAUGCUAUAAUCCCGAGCAGACCACCUGUGGCGAAGGCGUCUGACUAGAACGGGUCUGACAGUGAGGAACGAAGGCCAGGGGAGCGAACCGGAUUAGAUACCCGAGUAGUCCUGGCAGUAAACGCUGCGAGCUAGGUGUUGCACAUUCUUCGAGAAUGUGCAGUGUCGGAGCGAAGGUGUUAAGCUCGCCGCCUGGGUAGUACGGUCGCAAGGCUGAAACUUAAAGGAAUUGGCGGGGGAGCACAACAAGGGGUGCGGCGUGCGGUUUAAUCCAACUCAACACGGAGAAUCUCACCAGAAGCGACGGCAGGAUGAAAGUCAGGUUGAAGACCUUACUUAACAAGCCGAGAGGUGGUGCAUGGCCGUCGUCAGCUCGUGCCGUAAGGUGUCCUGUUAAGUCAGGCAACGAGCGAGACCUGUACCUACAAUUGCUAGCAACUCUAUUCAGAGGAUUGAGCACAUUGUAGGAACUGCCCUGGAAACGGGGAGGAAGGUGCAGGCAACGGUAGGUCUGUAUGCCCCUAAUCCUCUGGGCUACACGCGCGCAACAAUGGUAGGGACAAUGGGAUACAACUCCGAAAGGAGAAGUUAAACCUCAAAACCCUAUCCCAGUCCAGAUUGAGGAUUGUAACUCAUCCUCAUGACGCCGGAAUCCCUGGUAAUCAGAUGUUAGCAUCGUCUGGUGAAUAUGUCCCUGCUCCUUGCACACACCGCCCGUCAAGCCACCCGAGCAGGCUUCAGGUAAAACUCGAUCUCUUAAUCAAGUUGAAUCUGGGGUCAGUGAGGUGGGCUAAGUCGUCACAAGGUA
rnacentral:rRNA from 1 species